GCGAGUCUGCCUGAGUCGUGCCUCGUCUACAGUCUCACCUCCAGUAUCACGUGGUUCUGGGAGACGGAGCUGCUGAUGACCAUGGACGAGCAAGGCACACGGCGCGGUGCAGGGCCGCGGGCAGCCAGGGCCCAGAUGAAGUUCUCGGGCACCAGCUCGGAGCUCCAAUUGAGCGGCGUCACGAUGGACGAUGGAGGAGUCUACCGGUGCCGCGUCGAUCUGCACAACGGCAGCUACAGUGACGUGGCCUUCCUCGAAGUUGUGGAGUGGCCCGUGGGGACUCCCACGGUGACCGCCGACCCCG